CAAUAGCGUAUAUUAAUGUUGUUGCAGUUAAAAAGCUCGUAGUUGGAUUUCUGGUGGGAGCGGCCGGUCCGCCGUAAGGUGUGUACUUGGUUGUCUCCUGUCAUCCUUGUGGGAACUGCUCUGGCAUUAAGUUGUCGGGGUUAGGGAACACAUCGUUUACUGUGAAAAAAUUGGAGUGUUUAAAGCAGGCUUAUGCCGUUGAAUACAUUAGCAUGGAAUAAUAAGAUAGGACUUUGGCGUCUAUUUUGUUGGUUUGCACACCAAGGUAAUGAUUAAUAGGGAUAGUUGGGGGUAUUCGUAUUUAAUUGUCAGAGGUGAAAUUCUUGGAUUUAUGAAAGACGAACUUCUGCGAAAGCAUUUACCAAAGAUGUUUUCAUUAA
rnacentral:rRNA from 1 species